UACAGAGGGGGCAAGCGUUAUUCGGAAUUAUUGGGCGUAAAGGGCGCGUAGGCGGCUAUUCAAGUGGCGGGUGAAAUCCCUCGGCUUAACCGAGGAACUGCCUGCCAGACUGGAUGGCUUGAGACCGGGAGAGGUGAGUGGAAUUCCCAGUGUAGCGGUGAAAUGCGUAGAUAUUGGGAGGAACACCAGUGGCGAAGGCGGCUCACUGGACCGGUACUGACGCUGAGGCGCGAAAGCGUGGGGAGCAACAGG
rnacentral:rRNA from 1 species